rnacentral:rRNA from 1 species
AGAGUUUGAUCAUGGCUCAGGACGAACGCUGGCGGCGUGCUUAACACAUGCAAGUCGAGCGAGGACCACACUCCUUUGGGGUGUGGAGCCGAGCGGCGAACGGGUGAGUAACACGUGAGUAACCUGCCCCUGGCUUCGGGAUAGCCCCGGGAAACCGGGAUUAAUACCGGAUAUGACCGGGAAGGGCAUCCUUUCUGGUGGAAAGGUUCCCUCGUUUGGGGGUUCUGGCUGGGGAUGGGCUCGCGGCCUAUCAGCUUGUUGGUGGGGUGAUGGCCUACCAAGGCGACGACGGGUAGCCGGCCUGAGAGGGCGACCGGCCACACUGGGACUGAGACACGGCCCAGACUCCUACGGGAGGCAGCAGUGGGGAAUCUUGCGCAAUGGGCGGAAGCCUGACGCAGCGACGCCGCGUGGGGGAUGAAGGCCUUCGGGUUGUAAACCUCUUUCAGCAGGGACGAAGGUGACGUGUACCUGCAGAAGAAGCGCCGGCUAACUACGUGCCAGCAGCCGCGGUA